CGUCUUCCUUCCCUCACUUCUUUCUUCUUCCUUUUUCUUCCCGAUACCCUCUCUUUUUCCUCUUUCUCACAACACCAUUGCAACCCCUCUCUCACCCUUACUUUGACUCCCCCGACACCCUCUCUCACCCUCUCAUUGCCUCUCUCUGUCGCUCACCUCAUUUCUCCGUCCCUCUCUAUCGCUAACCUCAUCUCUCCGUCCUUCUCUCUUGCCGUCGCAUCUUCAUCUCCAAGAGAUGUCGCAGCUCAUUAGAAGCCGGAAGGUGAUGACGACUAUACCUCGUCCAACGAUUACACCUCCUACUGCUGUAGUCACUGCUUCGGCAGAGAUGGACCAUAUGCCUGUGAAUUCGGUUGACCUAGUUGGUCCCUGAGUCCCAUAGACGCCGGCGUCUUCGACUUCUUCGAUGGCACUACUUGUUAGUGCCCGACGUGAUCAGUGGCGCUCCCGCACUCCGGAGCAGAUGUCGCCAUCGGGAUCCACAACCAAUGCCUCGGGUUCACAGCCAACCCAGAAAAACACCCAGGGACCUUGUUAGUAGUUGAAGACGGCGAAGGUCACCCAGGUGACCAACAAUCGUAUCACAAUCGGAUACGAUGAGCGACAUCGGGCUGCACCAACGGCGGAGCAGCAUAGCGCAUUGGCCCACGACAUUGGGCAUGUCGUUCGGACGUUUUGUCCUAUGCGGUGGAAGUCUUAGAAGGCUAUGACGGACGAGGUGAAGAACACGGUGCACAAUCAUUUGUCAACAAACUACAAUUUUGAUAACAUCAACAAGGACAUGUUGGCGUACCUCAAUCAGCUUUUCUCCGAACAGUACAAGCAGUGGAAGAGCGACCUGCACUAGUAUUUCGAGAUGUUUGAUGAUCUGCAGGUCGCUCUCAAGGAGGGUUGUCCGAAUGAGUUUGAGGAAUGGGAAGAUAGCUGGGUUUGGCACUACGGUCAUUUUCAAGAGCUGGGCUAUGUGAAGAAGGCGAAGGCAAACAAGAUCAAUCAGGAGAAAAAGACUCUUCUCCACCAUUCGGGUUCGAGGCCCUUCUCAUAUAGGAUGGGGGCGCGACGGAAGUUUUCUAUUCCAGGGGGGUUCAAAAUUCCCGAAGAUCGACGUCUUUGCUGACGUUUAUGUUCGGCCCGGGGAUGAGUUGGGCGAGUAACUUCAUGAGACUAUGGUGGAGAAGAGCAAGUCGGUCAUUCAGGAGUCUGCCUCCCAGCUUCCCUCAGCCAUGUCGAUCAAGUCUGUGGAUCCCUUCGAGGAUGCGAGGUUUCACAUCCUUACAGAGACCUUGGACCAGACCUUUGGUCAGAGGCCAGGGAUGUAUUGCGGGGGGAUAGGGAAUGCCAGGCAACGGGAGAGUGGAGCCACUUUAUCCUUGCAGUCGAAGGGCGAGGUUACAGCUUUGACGCAGGAAGUCGCUGGCCUAAGGAGUGAGCUUGCAUCGUACAAGACUUAGAUGUCAUUGAUUGUAUAGGCCCUAAGUUCCUCUGGGAUCUGUCCCCUCGAUUUUUUUGCAUUGCCGACGUUAGAGCCCCUCCACUCCAAACAUACCCAGCAAUUAAACCCGUUGACCUCCGACCCCGUCCCCAACCUCGAUCCCCAACUCUGUCCCCUUCUAGUAGCAAGAUUACCAAGCACCUCCGAAUGACUUGCCCAUAGAUUACGCCACAUUUUUUUCUUAGCUUUUUUUCCUACUUUCUGUUUAAACUUUGUAGUUGUAUGUACAUUUUUAUUUAUUUAAAUUAUAAAUAAAUUAUUUUUCUAUUCA